rnacentral:lncRNA from 1 species
UCCAGAGUGGCUGGGAUUAUAGGCGUGUGCUCCAGCACCUGGCUCUCAUAUUUUAUCUUAAAAUUUUACCUUUUUUGUUUGAAUCUCUGAACCAUGCUGUUAAUUUUGUUUUACUGCAUGAGGUUUUAGGUUUUUUUCUCUUGCUGUUGCCUAUGAAUGUUCAGUUCCAGCACCAUUUUUUUUUUCCUAAAGACUGGCCUACCUAUAUUUAAUUGCUUUUAUGGCUUAGUCAAAUAUCAUUAGGUUUCUUCAUGUUGGUCUCUUUCUGCAUUCUCUAUUUUAUUGAUCUAAUUGUCCAUGUUAUUGGCAGAGGCCAAACUUCUGCUCACCAGACUAUCUUGUUUUACUAUGUUGGGUCUUCCAGUCCAUAAAUAUGAUGUCUCUUGUUUAGAUCUCCUUCAUUUAUCUCAUGUUUUCUAAUUGUGGACAUAUUUUUUUUAUAGACUUUUGUAGAUAUAUCCUAUGGAACCAUGUUUUUGUGAUAUUUAGGGUUUUAUUUAGUUAGUUAGUAGUUAUGGGGUGUGCUGGGGAUUAAAUCCAAGGGCAUUUUGCCACUAAGCUAUAUCCUCAGUCAUUUUGAGACAAAGUCUCACUAAUUUGCUGAAGCUGGUCUUGGAAGAUCCUCUUGCCUCAGCUUUCUGGGUCACUGGGAUGAUAGGUAUGUGCCACCAUGCCCAGCUGUUUUUGUUUUGCUCUUUCUUUGUUGUCCAGACUGGCCUCGAACUCCUGAGCUCCUGUAGUCCUUCCUCAACCUACAAUCCUGGUAAGUGCUGACCACACCAGACUCGAAAUUGAGGUUUUAAUUUGAUGUUGCACAUGAUCUUUGCCUUUAGAGGAAAAUAUAAUUCUUACAUAUUGACCCUGUAAGUUAUGACUUUGGUGAUCUCACCUAUUAGGUCUAGCUGUACGUUUCAAUAGAUUCCUCAGGAUUUUCUUAAUAAAAUAUGUUAAAAUAUGUUCGUAACAAAUAGAGAACCAAUUUCUUGAUCUAUAUCCUAUAUCCCUUCAUUUUCUUUUCCUCUCUUCUUUACUACCUAGAUCUAUAUGUGUUGAAUAAAAUGGUUUAAAAAAAAUAAUAAGAAUUGAGGCCUGCACAGGCCCCAACUUCUCUCUAUGGUUUGGGAAUGCUAUCUGCUUUGUAUAACAACAUGGCACUUUUGUUUUCUGGAAACAGUCAUCAUGUUCUCUGAAAAAUCCUCCUACAUGUUGUCUU